rnacentral:sRNA from 13 species
AAGCUCGCGUUUAUUUUAAAUGUACUUGUGCGCGCCACCUGUUUUUAAUUAAUAUUUUACAAUCGGCGUGAUAAAAAGUCUAUGAAAUUCGUUUUUUUUUUUUGGUUUUUGUUGAGAGUGCAAGAUCGUGCAUUUUGUGCGUAUGUGUGCGUGCGUGUGUGUGCUUGUGAGGAAGUUAUAGUUUAAUGUUGGUUAGCUUCAAUUGUCGAGCAACAGAGAAAAAAAGAAAUAAAUAAAUAAAACAGCCGCAGCAGCAGCAACAACAACAAAGUGAUGCUGAUUGAUGUCACACACACCACGAAGGAAAAAAAUACAAAAUAAAUAAAUUAUCACCUUGAAGGGGUUUAUCAAUUUCGCCAGCACAUAAAGAUGUUAUCUUGGAAAACCGUUUAGAGGUGGACAGUACUGCAGAUUUGCCAGCGCUCACAAACGGAAACGGAAGUGACGCCCGAAAGGAAAAGGGAAAGAGGAAGUGGAAGCGCAGGACAAACGGCUGAAUAAUGCAAAUUAAAACACAAUAAAAUGUAAAACACAAAUGACAACGGAGAACACGAGCUGCAAAAGGCUAAAGGAGCUAAAAAAAAAAAAAUAGCAAAGGGCGAAUCGGUUGACAUGCCAAAAAAAAUGCGAGUGGCGGCAACUUUUCCACUGAAUUGAUUUGAUUUUCAGUCAGGAGUACAGCCGGAAUACGGAGCGUAUGCGCGAUACGUAUACGCGAUUUUAGGGCGCCGGGGGAGCGGCGGAAAUUUGCAUAACUUUGCUGGCGUGGCAUAAACAUCAAAAAACAAAUUGCAAGUAACAAAGGGAAGCAAUGGUCAUAAAAACGGCGCCAGCCUCGUAAAAAAUACGUUACAAAAAAAAAAA